rnacentral:rRNA from 1 species
AUGGCUCCUACUGUUAAUGGCACCAUGAAUGUGCUUAAGGCUUGCUCUGCUAUGAGCGUUCAAAAACUUAUUGUGGUUUCAUCCGGCGCUGCUAUUACUUUGAACCCAAAUUGGCCUCUAGAUAAACUGAAAGAUGAGGAUUGCUGGUCAGACAAAGAGUUCUGCAAGGAAAAUGAGAUCUGGUAUGCCCUUGCCAAGACGGAAGCUGAAGAGAUGGCCCUGGAAUACGCAGAGAGAAAUGGAUUACAUGUCAUUACAUUUUGCUCCGGUGCGGUCUUUGGCCCACUGUUGCAGGCUGAUGUGCUCAAUAUUACCACCAAAUACCUCCGCUAUAUCAUAAAAGGAGGUCCUGACACAAUAAAUAACAAAUUCUGGCCCAUAGUAGACGUCCGUGAUGUUGCUGAUGCACUACUGCUGUUAUACAACAAGGCAGGACCAUAUCAGAGGUACAUAUGUUCAGAGCACCAAAUUGACAUAAAAUAUUUGGUGGAUUUGAUGAAGAGCAUGUACCCCAGCUAUAACUAUGCAGACAAAUUUUCACCACUUUUUUUGUUUAGACUGGUUGAUGUGGAUUAUAAGCUUGGGAUGAAUUCAGAUAAACUUAAGAAUCUAGGAUGGAAACCGAGGAAGUUGGAGGAGACACUCGCAGAUAGCGUCGAGUCAUACGAGAAAUCAGGAAUCCUUAAUGCGGAGGAGGAACCUUGUCGUGUUCCGUAUUUCUACCGUAUGCCACAUGUCCUGGAGUGA